rnacentral:lncRNA from 1 species
GAAUAUUUCUUGAUUGAGGAAAAUAUUUUAAAUAUAUGCAUAGUUAAGCAAAAAUAAAAAUUAAAGAUUCUACAUUGUCCACAAAGAAAAAUGUCUAUCCCAUUGUGCAUCUUUUGUUCAUUAUCUCUCUGUCAGGAGUUAAAAUAGUUUAUCAUCAGUUUUUGAAGAUCACAGUUCUUAUUAAAACUUAAUAGGAGGAUUUGAUUCCCUCAUUUCAUCAAAAAUUCCUUUAUGCAUUGUGUUCUUCUAAUCCCUGGCAGAACAUUACUACAUGGAGUUCUUUGGAACAAGUUACAGAACCAAUUCUGAAAUUCUGAAAAGUCCUAGGUGUCACAUUUUAAAAGAAAAUUAA